UCGUUCAUUUCUAUAAAUCAAGCUCACCUUUACGCUCUAACACAUCAUAUCAAACUCCCUUUCGGUGCAGUUGCACAGCUUCAUGCUUCCUUAUUUUCCUUUUCUUUUCUUUCCAAUUUUUUUCUUCCACUGUUUUAUGCAGAGAGAGAUUCCUGGAGUUAACUAGCAAAUUGGAGAUUUUUUUCAAUCACUAAUUGGUGAGUGAUUUCCAUGCCAUGCUUGUCAAGUGAGCAGCCUUUUGCGGGUUAAUCCUUUCUUUCGUUGUCUGUUCGACCUUGAACACAUCUUUAUAACAGGGUUUAAUCAACACAUAGUUGAAAUAACAUACUCAUACUGAACCCAUAUAUCUAUUCCAAUUCCAUCUUUGCUUAGUUACCCUUUUGAUCUUCACAUAUUCCUAUGGGAACCUGCAUAUAUGAUCUAGGUACUUUUUUCUUUUUAGGUUUGAACUUUGAAUAGGCAUGCGUGGUAUUGGUAGGUGUGUAUAACCUUGUGAUUUCCGUUAGCUACUACGGUUGCUUCGCUGGAUGACUGUAAGGUUCAGUGCAAGUUAGCAACUAAAGGAAACAUGUCAAACUACCAUAUGAUUGGUUCAAGUACUCACCUUUCAUGAUGUUACCAUUUACCAUCUGAAUCAGGGAAGGAACCACGAGGUUUCAGUAUACUUCAACUUGAGGUCUUUUGUUCAUGCUUUUGCCUUUCGGCAUCUUAAGUGAAUUCUAUAAAGAUUAAUAGCUUAUGGCGCAUUCAUGAAAUGAAUUAUUUUAGAUUUGAAGUCCUAGUCUUUUGAUUGAGGAUACAUGGUUGUUCAAAUCUGAUGACUGUAAACAGGAUUUGAUUAAGCUUUAGGCAGAUUUUGAUUAAUAAUAUCGUGCAAAUCAAACUAUAAGUCUAUAACCUAGACAUCCAAACAAAGGGACCAUCCUACUAUCCAAUUUUAGAAUGGUUGUGACCCAUCACUUUAACAUUUGUAUGAUGGGUUCUCCGCCAUGGUUAAAGCCAUUUGAAGGUAUGAAGCUCAUGCAUCUUCCUCAUUUACAAGUUAGCAAGGGUUGAACUUGAAGCAUACCCAUACAUAUAUAAAACCCAAAUUACUCUUAGCUUGACUUGACAUUGCUGAUUGCUACUUUGCUUCUCCUAUAGGAAAAUCCAACUAGAAAGCUUUGAAACACUUUCUAUUUGUGCAUAUAUAGAUAUAAGGUUGUGUGUGAUUCUUAAUUUACUUGUCAAACUAGUUGUCUUUUUCUCCAAUUCGUGGAUAAACCUGUUGACUUUACAUAUAUAGAUUAGUUUCAAUGUGUAGAAAAAAUUACAGCAUUGAGAUAGCUUUAGCAAACAUUAUAGAAAAACAAAGGAGAAAGAAAGAAAUGAAGUUCCUAUAGAAUAAGGUGGUAAAGUCUAAGGUCGAUCUGAGAGCGAAAAUGAGGUUUGAAGCAAGAGGCUAUUGAUUUGACAAAGGCUUUGCAUGGAAUUCAACACCUUCAAAUCCAUUUUAAGCCUUAAGUCUUCCAAAACCACCUUUAAAACGGCGUGAUGCCUUGUGCCCCAUUUCUGGGGAUGUGCCAUCUUGAUUCUUUCUAAUUCAAUGUUCCUUCCCGUAAUUUCCUGUAAGGAUUCUUGUUUGAGAAGCAACUUGCCAAGUUAUCCCCCAUAUAAUCCUCUCAACUCCUGCAAUCGAGUGGGCAGGCGGAAUCCCAGCAAUUCUUGUGAUUAUGUCUUCUGGUAGCCAAAGAUAAAAGAGGUCAAUAUUCCACUCACCAUUCCCUGAGACCAUAUCACUUAGCAUGCAAUCCAUAUCCAUAUUAGAAUGUCCGGGAAUUAAGCAAACCAAAGGUCCCACGUUUGGAGUCCAAGGAUCACGCCAACAUCUAAUUUUUUUUCCCAAAUUAAUAAAUUAAACCAUAAGAAAUUUGAGAACAAAGAAUAAAUAAAAAAUUAUAAAUAAAUAAGAAAUAUAAAUUAAAAAGACAAAGUGGAAGAUGGAAUGAUAAAUCGAUGGAUAUGAUGGAUAAAAAUGAUAAAUGUCUCAUUGAACCCUUUGAGAUAUAAAUCCCAACAAACUCAAUUAAUGGUUCUAAUCAGCCUUCCAAGAAAUAAUACUUGGCAAAUUGAAGGGUGAAUAAUGAAUUCCCAUUACCCCUUAAAGAAAAUCGAGAAGAAAAUAUUGCACAAAGAAAUUAACUCAUAGAGUUAAAAACUUUAUUAAUAAAAAAAAAGGUGUCUACUUAAUGAACAAUGAAGAAGUCUUUAUAUAGGUUAGCUAAGUACAUCCAAAUAAAACUCUAAAGUAUACUAAAAUUCUAAUUAAUUAAAACAAUAAAUAGUUUUAAAUUAAUUUUUCUUGUUUGACUAUGAAACAAAAACUCCUAAACAACUUGAAAUACUUAAAUAAUAUCCAAAAUUCAGAAUAAAUAAAUAAUAAAAAUAAUAAAACCUAAAAAAAUACAAUAUUGGGCCCAUAUAUAAUAAAAAUUAAGCCUAAAAACUGAACCAAAAAUGAUUUAAACUCGAAUUAAAAGCUCGAAAUUCGUAAUUUUCGUCAUAAUCUCGUCCAGAAAUUUUGCUCGCGCAAUCUUCACUAAAAUGGUCAUAACUUGAGCUCCCGAACUCGAAAUCAAGUGAUUCAAAGUGAUUUUUGAAGCUAAGAGAUGAUCUUCAAACUAUAUGUAGACAUCUAAGCCCAUUGAGUGACGAUUAGAAAUUUUAAUUAUAGGUAGUUUAGUCCACAUAAUAAAAUGUAAUUAGGUUUUUGGAUUGUCAAGCAACUCUAAUUUGGUCAGAGCAUAAACUCUAUAAAUAGACAUGUUUAGCCUCAUUUUGGGAGCCUUGGCCAAGUGAGCCACUUAGUUAAAUUUAGGUUUUUACUUUAA